CCAGACUCCUACGGGAGGCAGCAGUGGGGGAUAUUGCACAAUGGGGGAAACCCUGAUGCAGCGAUGCCGCGUGAAUGAAGACGGCCUUCGGGUUGUAAAGUUCUGUCGCAGGGGACGAAAAUGACGGUACCCUGCAAGAAAGCUCCGGCUAACUACGUGCCAGCAGCCGCGGUCAUACGUAGGAUCCGAGCAUUAUCCGGAGUGACUGGGUGUAAAGAGUUGCGUAGGUGGCAUAAUAAGUAGCUAGUGAAAUCUGGUGGCUCAACCAUUCAGACUAUUAGCUAAACUGUUAAGCUCGAGACCGUUAGGGGUAACUGGAAUUUCUAGUGUAGGGUUGAAAUCCGUAGAUAUUAGAAGGAACACCAAUAGCGUAGACAGGUUACUGGGACGGUUCUGACACUAAGGCACGAAAGCGUAGGGAGCAAACGGGAUUAGAUACCCUCGUAA
rnacentral:rRNA from 1 species